rnacentral:rRNA from 1 species
CCUACGGGAGGCAGCAGUGGGGAAUCUUCCGCAAUGGACGAAAGUCUGACGGAGCAACGCCGCGUGAGUGAAGACGGCCUUCGGGUUGUAAAGCUCUGUGAUUCGGGACGAAAGGCCAUAUGUGAAUAAUAUAUGGAAAUGACGGUACCGAAAAAGCAAGCCACGGCUAACUACGUGCCAGCAGCCGCGGUAAUACGUAGGUGGCAAGCGUUGUCCGGAAUUAUUGGGCGUAAAGCGCGCGCAGGCGGUCUCUUAAGUCUAUCUUAGAAGUGCGGGGCUUAACCCCGUGAGGGGAUGGAAACUGGGAGACUGGAGUAUCGGAGAGGAAAGUGGAAUUCCUAGUGUAGCGGUGAAAUGCGUAGAUAUUAGGAAGAACACCGGUGGCGAAGGCGACUUUCUGGACGAAAACUGACGCUGAGGCGCGAAAGCGUGGGGAGCAAACAGGAUUAGAUACCCCUGUAGUC